GUAUUAACCAUUAGACACUUCUUCCCUAUUGACAGAGCUUUACGACCCAAGGGCCUUCAUCACUCACGCGGCGUCGCUGCAUCAGGGUUUCCCCCAUUGUGCAAAAUUCCUC
rnacentral:rRNA from 1 species